UACGGAGGGGGCGAGCGUUAUUCGGAAUUACUGGGCGUAAAGGGCUCGUAGGCGGCCAACUAAGUCAGACGUGAAAUCCCCCGGCUUAACCAGGGAACUGCGUCUGAUACUGGAUGGCUUGAGUUUGGGAGAGGGAUGCGGAAUUCCAGGUGUAGCGGUGAAAUGCGUAGAUAUCUGGAGGAACACCGGUGGCGAAGGCGACAUCCUGGACCAAUACUGACGCUGAGUGAGCGAAAGCCAGGGGAGCAAACGGG
rnacentral:rRNA from 1 species